rnacentral:rRNA from 1 species
UACGUAGGGACCAAGCGUUGUUCGGAUUUACUGGGCGUAAAGGGCGCGUAGGCGGCGUGUUAAGUCACUUGUGAAAUCUCUAAGCUUAACUUAGAACGGUCAAGUGAUACUGACGUGCUAGAGUGCAGAAGGGGCAACCGGAAUUCUUGGUGUAGCGGUGAAAUGCGCAGAUAUCAGGAAGAACACCCGUGGCUAAGGCGGCUCUCUAGUACGGUACUGACGCUGAGACGCGAAAGCGUGGGGAGCAAACAGG